rnacentral:lncRNA from 1 species
CGGGCUUCAACGGAAAUCUAUGCUCCACAAUCUCAGAAUCCAAACCAGGCAUGUCUUGAUAGGACCAAGCAAACACAUCUGAAUACUCUCGGAGAAGAUCAAUCAACCCCUUCUUCACUUCAGGACACAGUCGAGACCCAAUCUUGACUUCCUUCACAUCAUCCUCGAAACCUAAAUUGACUAACUCAAUCUGCUUUUCGAAUGGGUGAAUGGCUUUUUCCUCGUGCUCAAGUAGACGAGACAAU